UAGCUAGUUGGUGAGGUAAAGGCUUACCAAGGCGACGAUCUGUAGCGGGUCUGAGAGGAUGAUCCGCCACACUGGAACUGAGACACGGUCCAGACUCCUACGGGAGGCAGCAGUGGGGAAUUUUGGACAAUGGGGGCAACCCUGAUCCAGCCAUGCCGCGUGAGUGAAGAAGGCCUUCGGGUUGUAAAGCUCUUUCGGCCGGGAAGAAAUCGCAUGGGCCAAUACCCUGUGUGGAUGACGGUACCGGAAUAAGAAGCACCGGCUAACUACGUGCCAGCAGCCGCGGUAAUACGUAGGGUGCGAGCGUUAAUCGGAAUUACUGGGCGUAAAGCGUGCGCAGGCGGUUUUGUAAGACAGGCGUGAAAUCCCCGGGCUUAACCUGGGAACUGCGUUUGUGACUGCAAGGCUAGAGUACGGCAGAGGGGGGUGGAAUUCCACGUGUAGCAGUGAAAUGCGUAGAGAUGUGGAGGAACACCAAUGGCGAAGGCAGCCCCCUGGGUCGAUACUGACGCUCAUGCACGAAAGCGUGGGUAGCAAACAGGAUUAGAUACCCUGGUAGUCCACGCCCUAAACUAUGUCAACUAGGUGUUGGGUGGGUAAAACCAUUUAGUACCGUAGCUAACGCGUGAAGUUGACCGCCUGGGGAGUACGGCCGCAAGGUUAAAACUCAAAGGAAUUGACGGGGACCCGCACAAGCGGUGGAUGAUGUGGAUUAAUUCGAUGCAACGCGAAAAACCUUACCUACCCUUGACAUGCCAGGAACUUGCCAGAGAUGGCUUGGUGCCCGAAAGGGAGCCUGGACACAGGUGCUGCAUGGCUGUCGUCAGCUCGUGUCGUGAGAUGUUGGGUUAAGUCCCGCAACGAGCGCAACCCUUGUCGUUAAUUGCCAUCAUUUAGUUGGGCACUUUAACGAGACUGCCGGUGACAAACCGGAGGAAGGUGGGGAUGACGUCAAUUCCUCAUGGCCCUUAUGGGUAGGGCUUCACACGUCAUACAAUGGUCGGUACAAAGGGUUGCCAAGCCGCGAGGCGGAGCCAAUCCCAGAAAGCCGAUCGUAGUCCGGAUUGCAGGCUGCAACUCGCCUGCAUGAAGUCGGAAUCGCUAGUAAUCGUGGAUCAGCAUGUCACGGUGAAUACGUUCCCGGGUCUUGUACACACCGCCCGUCACACCAUGGGAGCGGGUUCCGCCAGAAGUAGGUAGCCUAACCGCAAGGGGGGCGCUUACCACGGCGGGGUUCGUGACUGGGGUGAAGUCGUAACAAGGUAGCCGUAGGGGAACCUGCGGCUG
rnacentral:rRNA from 1 species